rnacentral:rRNA from 1 species
CCUACGGGGGGCUGCAGUGGGGAAUAUUGCACAAUGGGCGAAAGCCUGAUGCAGCGACGCCGCGUGAGGGAUGGAGGCCUUCGGGUUGUAAACCUCUUUCGCUCAUGGUCAAGCCGCAACUCAAGGUUGUGGUGAGGGUAGUGGGUAAAGAAGCGCCGGCUAACUACGUGCCAGCAGCCGCGGUAAUACGUAGGGCGCGAGCGUUGUCCGGAAUUAUUGGGCGUAAAGGGCUUGUAGGCGGUUGGUCGCGUCUGCCGUGAAAUCCUCUGGCUUAACUGGGGGCGUGCGGUGGGUACGGGCUGACUUGAGUGCGGUAGGGGAGACUGGAACUCCUGGUGUAGCGGUGGAAUGCGCAGAUAUCAGGAAGAACACCGGUGGCGAAGGCGGGUCUCUGGGCCGUUACUGACGCUGAGGAGCGAAAGCGUGGGGAGCGAACAGGAUUAGAUACCCCAGUAGUC